GAGGGUGAGAGCCCCGUCCGGUUGGCCACCAAGCCUGUGUGAAGCUCCUUCGACGAGUCGAGUAGUUUGGGAAUGCUGCUCUAAACGGGAGGUAGACCCCUUCUAAAGCUAAAUACCGGCCAGAGACCGAUAGCGCACAAGUAGAGUGAUCGAAAGAUGAAAAGCACUUUGAAAAGAGGGUUAAAAAGUACGUGAAAUUGUUGAAAGGGAAGCGCUUGUGACCAGACGUGUGCCGGGGUGCUCAGCGGGCGUUCUCGCCCGUGCACUCGCCCCGGUACAGGCCAGCGUCGGUUCGCGCGGGGGGACAAAGGCGCCGGGAACGUAGCUCCCUCGGGAGUGUUAUAGCCCGGCGUGCCAUGCCCCCGCGCGGACCGAGGUUCGCGCUCCGCAAGGACGCUGGCGUAAUGGUCUCCAGCGGCCCGUCUUGAAACACGGACCAAGGAGUCGAGGUUUUGCGCGAGUGUUUGGGUGUCAAACCCGCACGCGUAAUGAAAGUGAACGCAGGUGGGAGC
rnacentral:rRNA from 1 species